UAUUAUUUUAAUUAUAAGUUGAAUUACUUAGGUAGUAAUAGGUAAGUUCUUGAAACUUAAAGAAUUUGGCGGUGUUUUAGUCUUUUCAGAGGAAUCUGUUCAGUAAUUGAUAAUACACGAUAAAAUAUACUUAAUUUUGUUAUAGUUUAUAUACCGCCGUCGUAAGAAUAUCUUGGAAGAGAAGAAAUUUUCUUAAUAAGAAAUUAAUUUGGAUGUCAGGUCAAGGUGUAGCUUAUAAUUGAGAUGAAAUGGAUUACAAUAAUUUAGCUAGUUAUACGAAUGGAGGGAUAGAAAUUUUAUGAAGGUGGAUUUGAUUGUAAAGGAAAUAAUUUUGUUUUAUUGAUUAGAGCUCUAAAACAUGCACACAUUGCCCGUCGCUCUCAUUUAUAAAAAUGAG
rnacentral:rRNA from 1 species